AGUGUGCCCACAACAAUGCCAUUAACCAACAGUUAAAAACCCAAGAAGAUGGAGCAAGGAAACCGAACUUGCCCGGGGACAGACAAAGCUGAGCAGUCACGUGUCCCGGCGCGCCGUGACGUCACCGGCCCGCGACCCAGCCAUUGAUUCCGACAGAGGGAGCGAGCGCGGCGGAGCUGGCAAGACGGGGCGGGGGGGGAGGCCCGGCAGCCUCCGGGAGGGCGCGCGUCCGGAGCGGCUGCGAGAUCCGGACCUAGGACAGUGCCUGGCAUGUAGAAGGUGUUCAGUAAAUAUUUACUAAGUGAAUGAAUGAAAAUCUCCCCCCAGGAAGAACAUGCUGGCAUCGUGUUGAUGAGGAUUCCAAUCUGCAUGGCAGACGCAGUCUCACUGUAACGCUCUGAAGCUCGAGGGCUGCAGGUCAUCCCAGGAAGGUGGAAGCUUUCUCCCCAUGGGGGUUUGAACCUCACAGAUCGGGCCCAAGGAGAAGCCAGCUGGGAAUUCCACCCUGUGUGAUACUUCACUCCCCUCAAACUUUUCUGACCUUUGUGUUGAGACAGAGUUUCACUCUUGCCCAGGCCGACCAUGAACUUUUGGGCUCAAGUGAUCCUUCUGCCUCAGCCUCCCACGUAACUGGGACUACAGGUGGUUUUGUCAUCAAACCUCAGGCAGUUUUGAAGCAAACCAGAUCAUCUCAGUGUCAUUAUUAUUCUACAGACCUCAAGACCACACCCAUCACUUUUCCAUAAGUCUUUUACAUUCCUGCAGUUAUCAUGAGAAAGCCCUGCUAAGUAUAACAGACCUAUGAAUGCUUUCAGUUCAGCUAGUGAGGUGUCAUAAUAAACAC
rnacentral:lncRNA from 1 species